rnacentral:rRNA from 1 species
UACGUAGGGUGCAAGCGUUGUCCGGAAUUAUUGGGCGUAAAGAGCUCGUAGGCGGCUUGUCGCGUCGGAUGUGAAAAUCCAGGGCUCAACCCUGGACCUGCAUUCGAUACGGGCAGACUAGAGUUCGGUAGGGGAGACUGGAAUUCCUGGUGUAGCGGUGAAAUGCGCAGAUAUCAGGAGGAACACCGGUGGCGAAGGCGGGUCUCUGGGCCGAAACUGACGCUGAGGAGCGAAAGCGUGGGGAGCAAACAGG